rnacentral:rRNA from 1 species
AACCCCUUGAGAGUGGCGAACGGGUGAGUAAUAUAUCGGAACGUGCCCAGUCGUGGGGGAUAACGUAGCGAAAGUUACGCUAAUACCGCAUACGAUCUAAGGAUGAAAGCGGGGGACCGUAAGGCCUCGCGCGAUUGGAGCGGCCGAUAUCAGAUUAGGUAGUUGGUGGGGUAAAGGCUCACCAAGCCAACGAUCUGUAGCUGGUCUGAGAGGACGACCAGCCACACUGGAACUGAGACACGGUCCAGACUCCUACGGGAGGCAGCAGUGGGGAAUUUUGGACAAUGGACGCAAGUCUGAUCCAGCCAUUCCGCGUGCAGGAUGAAGGCCCUCGGGUUGUAAACUGCUUUUGUACGGAACGAAAAGGUCUCUCUUAAUACGGGGGGCUCAUGACGGUACCGUAAGAAUAAGCACCGGCUAACUACGUGCCAGCAGCCGCGGUAAUACGUAGGGUGCAAGCGUUAAUCGGAAUUACUGGGCGUAAAGCGUGCGCAGGCGGUUAUGUAAGACAGAGGUGAAAUCCCCGGGCUCAACCUGGGAACUGCCUUUGUGACUGCAUAGCUAGAGUACGGUAGAGGGGGAUGGAAUUCCGCGUGUAGCAGUGAAAUGCGUAGAUAUGCGGAGGAACACCGAUGGCGAAGGCAAUCCCCUGGACCUGUACUGACGCUCAUGCACGAAAGCGUGGGGAGCAAACAGGAUU